rnacentral:lncRNA from 1 species
GGGACAGCCAAUCGCGCAGCUGUCUGACCUGUCACCAGGGAGCUCCUGACAUGGGAGACCUGUGUGUUCCGGCAGAGGCUCUGUGGUUCUUGUCCACCUCACGUCCCAUGUGCCUGUUGACCAUUGCUCUGGGGAUGGGAGCUGACUGUUCUUUCCAGCAUGGGGUCUGGGUUAAGGAAGCCCCAUUUGAAGACAAAUGGAAGGUGUGAAUUCAAGAUGCCACCACAAUAGGAAAUGAGUUUUUUCUUAGUCUGAAAGCUUAUCAAUUUAAAAAAAAAACACACACACACACACCAAAAUCUCUUUGUUUUGCUGAUUCUUUUAAAACUGUUUUUCUGUUCCUCAUUUCAUUUAUUUGCUCUUGGAGUCUUCUGCUUUACUUUAAACAGCUUAUUAAAGUCAAUUCACUAUUAACAAAAUCUCCCAUAGGAUGAAAAAAUUUCUCCAUCUCAUUAUAUCGGAAACAAAGUUACUUACAACUGACCUUAAGUAUGUAAAUAGAGAUCUUACUGUGCCCUAUUUUAUUUUUAUUUUUUGUCGGGUAUCCAUUAGUCCUUAUGGUUUCUUUUUCUUCUUCUUCUUUUUCUAAGUUAAAAGAAGAGGUUAUUACUGAAAAUAAGUCCAGCUUAAAGAGAGAUUCUUUAAGUGAAUGGUAUACCAAGUUACUAAGCCAGAUGUAUAGAAAUAACAUUAUGAGGGGCUGGGGAUGUGGCUCAAGCUGUAGCACGCUCUCCUGGCAUGCACGGGGUGCUGGGUUCGAUCCUCAAUACCACAUAAGAAUAAAGUAAAGAUAUUGUGUCCACCUAAAACUAAAAAAUAAAUAUUUAAAAAAGAAAUAACAUUAUGACCAUGAACUUUAAUCAAAAUACCAACGUGACAUGUAAUUUAAAAUGACUUCAUACAUUUUGUGUAAUAGAGUUGUGAAAC